rnacentral:rRNA from 1 species
GAUGAACGCUGGCGGCGUGCCUAAUACAUGCAAGUCGAGCGAAUGGAUUAAGAGCUUGCUCUUAUGAAGUUAGCGGCGGACGGGUGAGUAACACGUGGGUAACCUGCCCAUAAGACUGGGAUAACUCCGGGAAACCGGGGCUAAUACCGGAUAAUAUUUUGAACUGCAUGGUUCAAAAUUGAAAGGCGGCUUCGGCUGUCACUUAUGGAUGGACCCGCGUCGCAUUAGCUAGUUGGUGAGGUAACGGCUCACCAAGGCAACGAUGCGUAGCCGACCUGAGAGGGUGAUCGGCCACACUGGGACUGAGACACGGCCCAGACUCCUACGGGAGGCAGCAGUAGGGAAUCUUCCGCAAUGGACGAAAGUCUGACGGAGCAACGCCGCGUGAGUGAUGAAGGCUUUCGGGUCGUAAAACUCUGUUGUUAGGGAAGAACAAGUGCUAGUUGAAUAAGCUGGCACCAUGACGGUACCUAACCAGAAAGCCACGGCUAACUACGUGCCAGCCGCCGCGGUAA